rnacentral:rRNA from 1 species
AUUGAACGCUGGCGGCAGGCCUAACACAUGCAAGUCGAACGGUAGCACAGAGAGCUUGCUCUCGGGUGCCGAGUGGCGGACGGGUGAGUAAUGUCUGGGAAACUGCCUGAUGGAGGGGGAUAACUACUGGAAACGGUAGCUAAUACCGCAUAACGUCGCAAGACCACAGAGGGGGACCUUCGGGCCUCUUGCCAUCAGAUGUGCCCAGAUGGGAUUAGCUAGUAGGUGGGGUAACGGCUCACCUAGGCGACGAUCCCUAGCUGGUCUGAGAGGAUGACCAGCCACACUGGAACUGAGACACGGUCCAGACUCCUACGGGAGGCAGCAGUGGGGAAUAUUGCACAAUGGGCGCAAGCCUGAUGCAGCCAUGCCGCGUGUAUGAAGAAGGCCUUCGGGUUGUAAAGUACUUUCAGCGGGGAGGAAGGCGAUAAGGUUAAUAACCUUGUCGAUUGACGUUACCCGCAGAAGAAGCACCGGCUAACUCCGUG